GGUCAAUGGUGUAAUGGCAUGUAUUAGCUGAAUCCAAAGUUGAUGUGAGUUUCUAGAAUUACACUGAGACCUU
ensembl:snoRNA